GGGAAAGCCGACAGUGACAGGUGUUACCCAGCUCCCACGCAGCUGGAAAGGCUGGUCUCACUGUCAGCAUGCUCCCCCAACAGCAUCAAGUUUAUUUCCAGGCAGCAGGCGAGCAGGGCUGAGAACUUGUCCCAGGCUACAAGCCUCCCUGCUGACAACAGAAGCAGGGCUUUCAGGUUUUAUGCCUCUCUGCCUGCCACAGCUUCUGUGCUUGUAUCUGCACUCCCUGUUUGACCCCCUCCCCAGAUUCUGUCCAGGAAACUUCAUGUUCGGUAGAAAUUGUUAUAAAAUUCAACUGGAAGUUUUCCUCUCCCUCUGGUUUUUCCUCAAUUCCACUGGCAGCCCUCCCCAAGUUGCAAGAUAAAGACAGAAAAGGCUUCCCUGAGGACUGAGAGUGCCCACAGGGCUCUUGCUGCUGCUUUCUCUACCCCUAUAUUUUGUGCGGCUCUCAGCAUUUGUCUCAGCUCCAGGGAGAAGAGAAGGAAAAGCAGAUGAGUGAACAAGGGCAGAUGGUGCUGGAGAAUUCCAUCAAGUGGGCAUCAAGAAGGGACUGGAGGUUAAAACCUUUGGGAUAAAGAAGAAGAAAAAAAGACAAGCUGGUAAAAAAUGGCACCUGGGCACUGUUUGCUGGGCACAAACAUGGCACUGUUUCCUAGGAGAUGAUUCCUCCAGUUCUUUAAGGUAGUAAUGAAUGACAACAAGAAGUUACUUCUCUAUGCUACACACGGUGUAGAAUCCAGAGCCUGACUGGCUGUGACGCGCCCAUGGUGACACCAAGGGGACUCUGCAUGGGCACAUCCCGGCCCUCCUCCCUGCAUGUUCUCCAAGCCAGGUCUUUGAAACCUCCAGUGAUGGGAAUGACAGAAUCUGGGAUGAUUUUCUUCUGUUUCUUAUCUAAAAAAACAACAAAAAGCUCAGCAUACACGGACUCACACAAACCUUUUGCUAGAGGCAGCUCUGUAGACUUAAGACGCUGUCAUUUUUCAGAAGAACCCAGCUUGCUUUGGAACUACAGUCAGCCCUGCAACCCACCCUCACCUUGGACCCUGCUGCUGCUGUCUGUAAAGGGUCUGGAUGAAGGAAGGGAGCCUCCAGCUUGUCGGCUGUACUUGCCCAGAAUUUAGCCUUUGCAACAUGGAGCUGCGGGGAUGGGAAAUGUUGUCCACUAGCCUUCCACAAUGCUGCGAUGAAUACACCUGUGCAUUCUUUUUUAGAACAAGUGUAAGAAUUCCUAUGUGGCUGGACGGUACUGCUGCCAUCUCGGCUCACUGCAACCUCC
rnacentral:lncRNA from 1 species